rnacentral:misc_RNA from 1 species
UAAACAGCUGGAAGAUGGUCGCACACUCUCUGACUACAACAUUCAGAAGGAAUCCACCCUCCAUUUGGUCUUGCGUCUGAGAGGAGGAAAUUAACAUUUUUAAAAAAAAAUCUGUGCACAUUUUUAAUUCUGGCAGAACCAUCACGCUGAAGUUUUGAACAAAUUCACCAAAUUCAGUUUUAUUGACUUUCAAUUUUUCCUCAGAAUUUGAACAAAAUUGAACUUGAAUUUUUGUAUGUUGGUAAUGAACAAUAAACAUGUUUGGUAAUGAACAAUAAACAGUUGCAACAUUU